UAAAAGAUAAUUGUUCUAAGUUCUAGAUAAAAGUUUUAGGUACUUGAUUGUUAAUAAACUAAAAAAUAUUAUAUUUAUCCAUUUUUUAUUAAUCGAUAGAUGAGAAAGAUCGUAUAGAUGAGAGAGAAAGAAAUAUUGAACUCACUUGAAAAUAAAAUUCCACUUCUCGAAAGAAAAUAUUUUUUUUUAUUUUGAAAAAAAUAUAAUCACGUAAUAAAAGUAGAAAAAUAUUUUCCUUGAACAAAAACUUAGGUGGAAAUAAUACAUUUUUUAUAAAAAAAAUAUUGACAAUUAAACGUACCCCAAAUCUUUGAUUUAGACAAACAUGGUACUCAAGUGAUAAAAAAUAAAAACAUAAAAGUAUAACAUAAAUUCCAGUUCUUCUUUAUCUUUCCAUUUAUCAGUAUAACGGGCUCAGAACGGGCCCGAAAACGACAAAUCUAUAAAGCAGGAAAUGACUCGGGCCGCCGUAAAUAAUCAGUCGGCUCCGAACAAUCAAGCUCACCGAGUACUGACUCGAACGAGUCGUAAGUAAUUAACUCAUCCUCAAAACCUUUAAUAUUUUCCAAUUUUACUGACUCAGUAUCAACGGCAAAUGGUAAACCAACUGGCUCAUUAUUUGCUUGUUCCUCCUGGAAAUGGGGAACCGUAGGUGGCAAGCCGAGCUCGUAGUCGGUGGCUUCAAGUAAGUAACCGAGGUCCGGUUGAGACUCGCCGGCCUCCGACUGAAGCUGAAGAACUUCCGGCGAGGAUGAGCCGUUGUUAUUCGGGUGGAGUUCCUCUUCAAAGCUUCGAAUCACCAAGUCGAGAUCUUCAAUCACCUCUUCCGGACCCGUUUCCGAGUCUAACUCAUCAAGUAUGUCCAAAAUUUGCUUCGCCUGAGUUGAAUCCAAUUCGACUUCGAACGACUUACCUCCAACCGAGUUAACCCGCUUAGACUCGGGAGAGUCACAUCUCAAGUCCGAGUCAACUCGGGCUCGUUUUUUAGCAGUGGCAUUCUCUGCAUUGUGCUCCCCCAUCGCCAAAGGCCUAGAAAGGUACGUGAUAAAAGAUUUACAGAAAAGCGUGUUUAGUGUUGAGAAUUCAAAACAGUAAACGAUUUAUAAUAGAAAGACAAAUUGUAUUCUGUUUGUGAAGAAUGGGGCAAGAACCAUUUUAUAGGGGGGAAAUUGGGUUGGGGGAACAAGGGGGUCCCAUCACGUUUCACGGGCUUUUUCAUUUUUCGUUUCCUUUUACUUCCUUUGAGUGGAAUUAAAUUUUCCUUUCUGUCCUGUUUUUCCUGUCCCUUCUAAUUUCGUUGCAAUUAACUGGAUUUGAAUUCAAAGUUUGAAAUCCGCAACUCAAAUUGCGGCUGGCUCUUCUCUUAAACUUAGCUAGCUGGCUUCACCCAGCCGGCUUCAAUGAGAGUUUUGUUGGGUUGGUGGAGAGUGAUUUUCCUCUUUUGCCCUUCUAUGGGUUUCUAGAUUUUGCCUUUUAUUCCUCUCUUCUUUCUCGCUUUUUCUAUUCUUUUCUCCGUUUCCUUUUCUUCUUUUAAUUCUUUACCCCCACUUUAGGUAAUGAAUUUUAAACAAUUUAGUAUUUAAGGAGGCUCUGUAAAAUUAAAGGGAUGAAUGGAUGAUAACGGGCCCAACAGGAUGAGAGUACGGACAUAAUUAAAGCUUUGAUUGAACCACAUUAUUUAAAAAAUAUAUAUUUUUCAGUAAUAAUUUGAUAUUAUUUCAACUACACAUUAUUUAAUAAAAUAAUAUCAUACGCAAAUUCAAAACAUUUCAUUAUUUUUUAAUCACAUAUUUUUUAUCAAUAUACUAUUCAAAAAUACAUUUUCAUUUCAAUAAUGUGGCUCAAACGAGGGCUAAAAAAACAUUUUAUAUUUACAUCUUGUUUUAUUAACUAACUAUUUUUUAAUAUUACUUUUUUCUUUUGGGAUACGAAUAUAAAAAGAAUAUAUACAAAAGAAUUUUUCCUCCUAUACAGAAGUCGAGUUCACCGGACCUAGCCAUGGGUGGGCCCCACCUAAAUGUAAAAUGGCAAAAAAUUAACUCACCCACUGCCCAUUGUGUGUUAUUUGUAAAGCCCUCGUGAAGACACCCUUAUACGCCAAGUGGGGUUCUAUACAGAAUGACGAGGCAAAAUCUGUGUGAGAACUAUGUUCCCGUCUUAAAUCUUAAAUCACAAUACGCACUACAAUCUUUAUACUUGACUUGAUUCUUUAGUAUUACAUUGGGCUUAGACAAACAUAAGAAGGGAAAAUUAUGUCAAACACACUUCUUAUUUUUAAAAUUAUAAAUAUACUAUUACUAGUUUAUAUUUAACAAAUACUGCUUUUUUAAAAUCCACACAAAAACACUUGCAGAUAGUUGAUAAAUGCUUUAUGCACUUAUUUAGUAUUUCCUUACUUAAUCAUUUAUGGUAAAUUGAGCUUAUAUUUGUAUAAAAUGGUUAAUUGUAUGUAAAACCACAAUUUGGAUGUACUUGGAUGAAUUAGGUCAGAAAUAGGUGAAAUUGGAGCAUAAUUUGAGUUGAUUUGAAGCAUUGAAGCUCAAUCUGAUUUCAAUUGAUCGAGUGGAAGUAUUAAUGGAGCAUGGGAUAAAAAUUCGUAAAUUUUGGUAGUUAAAUUCAACACAUGAAAGGUUUAGAGAUUAAGCCCGUGUUUGACAACCAUUAAAAUCUUUUUAUUUUUUUCUUUGGAAAAAUGAAUUUUGGAAUAUUUAUUUAUUUAUUAUUAUUAUUAUUUUUUUUUUUGUGGAGAAUCUGGAGUUAAAAAAUAGUAAAAAUAAAUAAAUUGGAUUUACAUGCAAAAUAUUUUAUUUUGAGAAAUGUAUAGUUGACUUGAAAAUGAGUUUCAGGAAAAAAAAGUUUUUUUUUUUUUUUAAUGGUUGUCAAACAAGGGCUUAAUAAUUUUGGAAUGAAGAUGACUUGAUUGUGAAUAUUAGAAAACAAGGAUUCAAAUUGCAUGAGAAAAGUAAUCAAAUUGAAAAAAGGAAAUUAUUUCUCAAAUUCUUUUUCAGAAACCAAUUGGAACAAGGAUUUUGAUAUACAUCUUGUUCUAUAAAUGUAUACAGAGUUCAAAAAUUGAAGACAUAUGUCAAGAUUCAUUACCAUCCAAAUUAGGCUAUUGGGACAUCAAACUCAUUAAUCUUUCAAAGAGAGAGCUGAGGACGAAGCUUUGUUCUACAACCCCAUCUAUCCAUUCAAAGCUUUGUAGAAGCUUGUUAAAAAAAGACAUCUGAACAUAACUUCACACAUCUAUUUUUUGAUUGAAGGAGGAAAAUAAGAAUCAAAGAGGGUUGAUCCGUUGAAGAGA
rnacentral:lncRNA from 1 species